rnacentral:rRNA from 1 species
GACGAACGCUGGCGGCGUGCUUAACACAUGCAAGUCGAACGGAAAGGCCCUGCUUUUGUGGGGUGCUCGAGUGGCGAACGGGUGAGUAACACGUGAGUAACCUGCCCUUGACUUUGGGAUAACUUCAGGAAACUGGUGCUAAUACCGGAUAGGAGCUCCUGCUGCAUGGUGGGGGUUGGAAAGUUUCGGCGGUUGGGGAUGGACUCGCGGCUUAUCAGCUUUUUGGUGGGGUAGUGGCUUACCAAGGCUUUGACGGGUAGCAGGCCUGAGAGGGUGAACGGGAAAAAUGGGACUGAGAUAAGGACCAGAAUGCUACGGGAGGCAGCAGUGGGGAAUAUUGCACAAUGGGAGGAAGCCUGAUGCAGAAAAGCCGCGUGCGGGAUGAAGGCCUUCGGGUUGUAAACCGAUUUCGCCUGUGACGAAGAGUGAGUGACGGUAAUGGGUAAAGAAGCACCGGCUAACUACGUG